rnacentral:rRNA from 1 species
AGAUGGCGACCGGCGCACGGGUGAGUAACACGUACCCAACCUGCCGAUAACUCGGGGAUAGCCUUUCGAAAGAAAGAUUAAUACCCGAUGGUAUAAUCAGACCGCAUGGUUUGAUUAUUAAAGAAUUUCGGUUAUCGAUGGGGAUGCGUUCCAUUAGGCAGUUGGUGAGGUAACGGCUCACCAAACCUUCGAUGGAUAGGGGUUCUGAGAGGAAGGUCCCCCACAUUGGAACUGAGACACGGUCCAA